AAAGUCGUAACAAGGUUUCCGUAGGUGAACCUGCGGAAGGAUCAUUAUUGAAUAAAUCUGAUGUGGUUGUAGCUGGCUCUCCGGGGCAUGUGCACACCCAUCACCUUUAUCUUUCCACCUGUGCACACACUGUAGUCCUGGAUACCUCUCGUCGGAAGGCGGACUUGGGGUUUGCCGUUUGCCCUCAGGCUCGGCUCACUCUGAAUUUCCAGGUCUAUGAUCUCACACACCCCCAAAGAAUGUAACAGAAUGUCAUCACAGGGCCCUUGUGCCUAUAUAAAUUUAUACAACUUUCAGCAACGGAUCUCUUGGCUCUC
rnacentral:misc_RNA from 1 species